AAGCCAACUUUAAAGUAAAAAUAAUAAAAAUAUGAAUGAUUGAGGGCUUGCCUAAUCUUUGUGUGCUUUUUAUGAUAAAAUCACUUGCAGCAUUCCUCAUUUGUAAGUUGCUUUGGAUAAUAAAGUGUUGUAAAUGAAUAAAUAUAAAAGUAAUUGGUAAAAUGUUCCAGCUUUUGGGGUCAUAAUGGCUAAAAGCAGCUCCACAGGAUCUCAUAAGGUGUAACAUUAAAGGACCCCUAUGUAAGAUUUGAAACAUAAUGGUUUGUAGAGGUUAGCAGCUGUACCAUUCAUUCGCCUGAUGUGAGUCUGUGUGUGUAAUGAAUAAGCUGCUACAUUGCCUGUAAAUUAAUGAGACUCAUGGUUUAUGGUUAUUCUCUGCGAGCAACACACACACACAAUCCAUCACGCAGAUAUACCCAAGGUGUUGCACCUAAUUGGCUACAAGGAAUUUCACCAUGGCAACCAAAGAGCAUAUUGGCUUUUUGGUAAGGAUGACACACUUUUACAGCUUCUGCCAAUAGGCAUAUUCUUUUUGUGCACACACACACACGCCUCAGCUGUAUUACACUGAAGAAAGUAAAAUCUGUCCCUCCAUAUGACGGUAGUAGCAAUAAUGUCUGGCUCUAUAAAAGCAUUAGCGUGAGAUGAAGACAUCUUCCCCUCUGCCUCCGUGUAAAGGCAGCUCAAUUAAUGAUCACAAAGUAUCGUCCCCGUGGCCCGCAUCCAGCUCGUUCGUGGUGGGGCGUAACCAAGCUGUCCGCUGAAAAAUGGCUGACUUGCGCUCAGAGCCGUAGAUACGCUGGGGAGGGCGGAGCAUGCUGGGAUACCUGUGGGUACAGCACAAAGACUGAGGAGAGUGAUGAAUGAGCUGGAGUGAGAAUGAAAGAGAAAACAAGAGCGAGAGACGGCAGAGAGUGCAGGAUUGAGAAAGAAAUGAAGAGAAAUGGAGAAUGAAGAAAAAAGGAAUAGACAGCCAUCAGAGAUUAGAGUAUCAAGUCAGCAUGAAGUUAAAAAUUGACCCUUUUUAUUUCAACAUCUCCCCUCCAACCACAUGAAUUAUUCUCUAUUCUUUUCACAGUCCAGUCAUGGUGGUUAAAAUUAAGUCACAUCAUCAUAUUCUGUUUUACUUAUAAUUACUGCAUAUUGAAGUGCAGUGGGUUGCAAAUGCAAAUGGCAUUUCAUGUUGAGUUCCAGGUGUGUGUUGUUGAGAGAGGCUUUACAGUUUAACAGUGGUUGACCAAUAUGGGUUUUGGAAAAUGGAAUAUGCCAAUAUCUAGAAUUUUUUGAUAAUAUAUAGUAUUCAUCAUAACUUAAACGCUUAUUUGACAUAAGAAAAAAAAAAUAGAUAUUGGCAUCUCUCCAAUAUAUACAACAGUUCAAAAGUUUGGGGUCGCUAAGAUAUAUAUAUUUUUGAAGAAGUUAACACUUUUAAUCAGCAAGGAUGCAUUUAAAUGACCAAAAGAGACAGUAAAUAUAUAUAUUUAUCUCUUUUGUAAAAGUAAAAGUAUUACGUUUCCACAAAAAAAUAUCGAGCAGUACAGUACAUCUUCAACAAUGAUGAGAAUAAGAAAUAUUUCUUGAACCGCAAAGGAAAGGAAAUUAAUUUCUGAAGGAUACUGAGUAAUGGCUGCUGAAAAUUCAGCUUUGCCAUCACAUGAAUAAAUUACAUUUUAAAAUAUAUUAAAAUUUCAAAUUAUAAUAAUUAUUCACAAUACGUAAAAUUUUCUUUUACUGUAUUUUUGAUCAAAUAAAUGCAGCCUUGGGGCCAGAUUUACUAAACAGGGCAAAUUAGCGUUAGAGCGCAAUUCCAUAAAAACUGCAGAUGGGAGGGGAAAAUUCUGCGGGUGAUUUACUAACAAUGCACACAUUGAAGAACACAGACACAACAUCUCAUUUCCAUAAUGACCAGUG
ensembl:lncRNA